rnacentral:piRNA from 1 species
UAAAGACAAUGAAAUUCCAGGCAGCACACUUU